CUGAGUGAAAAUAACUGGCAGUUUAGAAUUCUGUAGCCAGUUAUACCAGCUUUCAAGAGUUAGGAUGAAUUAAAAAAAAAGUCAGACUAAUGGGAAUUUAUCAUCCAUACGACUUUCCUGAAAGAACUACUAAGGGAGGUACUUCAACAUAAAGAAAAGGCAAGAAUUUAGAAGUCUGGUGUAAGAAAAAAUAAUGUGAUAAAAAAUAAUGAAAUAUAUUUGCUUCUGGAACCAGAUAAUUGGAAAUUUCCUAUGUGUACUUGAGGAAACAGAAGGUUUCUACAGAGAGAUUGACACUGUUUACACUGAUUAGUGGAGGCUCUGAGAAAGUCUAAUUUAUUUUAUAAAAGUAAAAGCAGGAAUCUCUACACCCAGCAUGGGACUUGAACUCACAACUCUGAGAUCAAGAGUCAUACGCUCAUCUGACUGAGCUAGUCAGGAUAUCCUGGAUGUGGACAAAAAGAAUGCUACUAUAAAGUAAAUUUCAAGCAGCUACGUUUUAUGUCACAAUUCAAAAUUCUAAUAUCAGUAAGAGACAAAUAUCUCCUCCCCCUUACAUGGCACCCUGUCUUUACAAUGAUGAUUUUAGACUGGAUGAAAGAGGGGAAAAGAUGAAAGAGGCCAGCAGAUAUUUAAGACUGAGAUAUUAGUCUUCCACAACAACAUGGCAUGGGAUUAUGGACAACAAGAAAUUGGAGAACAACUCUGAAGGAAGGCUGCUAAGUGUGGAAUGAGACCAAGAAUCCAUGUGGCAGGAUUUCCCGAAGAAGGUUGGGGAUUGUCUCAUGAACUCCAGUAAAGAUGAAAGAGGUAAAAAAGAUGUACAUCAGGCUAUACCCAUUGACUUGAUUCAGUCACGUCUGAAUGAGCACAGUCUGGAAGACUUAAUUCAAAGUUAAGAGUCUCAGCCACUCUAGAAUUAUGUUGCCUUUGUCACAGUAGAACAUAACUUCAUCAAAAUCCCCUAAAAUGGUAAUAUUUUAAUUUUGAUGAGAACUAUAUCUGGAAAUUGAUUAAGAAGGCUUCCUUUUAAGAGUAUGUUCUUUAACUUAUUGAGAUGUAGCUUUCAUAAAAACACACACACACAAGUGUACUAUGAGAGAAAACAGCACUACUAAAUUUAUCAUCAGACUCCCUUUCAAAGAUUAAAGAAAAAACCCAUCAAUAUAUUUGUGUCACUCUUUUUGAAACCCUUUGGUUGAUUAAACUCCUGAGUAAGUAAGUCUGAGCCAGGGGAGCUUCAGAAGAAUCUUUAGUCUGUCAUUCUUUUUUUUAUGACUUUGGACCAAUUGCUUUGUCUUUCUGUAUAUAUUUUUUUGUUUUGUUUCCAUUUGUAAACCAAGAUGACACAUUCCAUCUUUCUCCUUCAUUGGGGUUUGGGAGUAUUAGGGCAUUGACUGAUUAAGGCAUCUAAGAACUGAUUUUUAUUUUUCACCCUGCAUGGGUAACUUAUGAAAGCAAUGUAUCAUAUAUUACAGUUAGGAUGACUGAUUUAUAUUGUAUUAUAUGCAUGUAUAUCCAUAGUAUCACAGGUCACCAAAAAUGGUAUAUAUAGGGUUUGUAAAACUU